UUGGGAGCUCACUGGCUUCGGAGUCGUAGGAACUCCGAAGUUAAGCGAGUUGGGGGCUAGAGCAAUUCCAGGAUGGGUGACCCACUGGGAAGUUGCUCGUGAGCUCCCAGA
rfam:Prunus persica cultivar Lovell chromosome G6, whole genome shotgun sequence.